rnacentral:rRNA from 1 species
UACGUAGGGGGCAAGCGUUAUCCGGAUUUACUGGGUGUAAAGGGAGCGUAGACGGCUGCGCAAGUCUGAAGUGAAAGCCCGGGGCUCAACCCCGGGACUGCUUUGGAAACUGUGUAGCUAGAGUGCUGGAGAGGCAAGCGGAAUUCCUAGUGUAGCGGUGAAAUGCGUAGAUAUCACGAAGAACCCCGAUUGCGAAGGCAGCCUGCCGCAGCGUUACUGACGCUGAAGCUCGAAAGCGCGGGUAUCGAACAGG